GCUAUGGCUCAAUGGUAGAGCACUCACCUAGCCCAUGAGAGGCGCUGGGUUCAACCCCCAGCAUUGGCA
rnacentral:tRNA from 1 species